rnacentral:rRNA from 1 species
GACGAACGCUGGCGGCGUGCUUAACACAUGCAAGUCGAACGGAAAGGCCCUGCUUUUGUGGGGUGCUCGAGUGCCGAACGGGUGAGUAACACGUGUGUAUCCUGCCCUUGACUUUGGGAUAACUUCAGGAAACUCGGGCUAUUACCGCAUAGGAGCUUCUGCUGCAUGGUGGGGGUUGGAGAGUUUCGGCGGUUGGGGAUGGACUCGCGGCUUAUGCGCUUGUUGGUGGGGUAGUGGCUUACCAGGGCUUUGACGGGUAGCCGGCCUGGGAGGGUGACCGGCCACAUGGGGACUGAGAGACGGCGCAGACUCCUACGGGAGGCAGUAGGGGGGAACAUGGCACAAUGGGGGGAAGUCAGUGACAGCAGCGCCGCGUGCGGGAUGACGGCCUUCUGGUUGUAAACCUCUUUCGCCGGUGACGAAGCGUGAUUGACGGUAAUGGGUAAAGAAGCACCGGCUAACUACGUG